GGGCUAGUAAUGGUUUCGACAGGCUAGUUGAAGUUGGAGAAGCUAUCCGGUCGUGAUACGUCACAUCACAACAAUAAAUAUAAACGCAGACGAAAAUUUAGCGUUCGCUGCCUAAUGGCAGCUGUCUGACUUAGUGCACCUACACACUAAGACCCAGGCAUCGACUUUGUAGGAAACGACUUAUGCAAAGCUUUGAGCAUAUGGGCGUACGAUGAAGCUACUGAAAUCAGAAGAGUGUUAGUUCUCGUCUGAUGGAGGGAAUGUCAAAUAACUGACUAUGAUAGUAGAAGGACAAGGGAUGCUGGUUUGGACGCGGGUUCGACUCCCGCCUGGUCCAUCA
rnacentral:tmRNA from 1 species